rnacentral:rRNA from 1 species
AUUGAACGCUGGCGGCAUGCUUUACACAUGCAAGUCGAACGGUAACAGGGUGCUUGCACCGCUGACGAGUGGCGAACGGGUGAGUAAUGCGUCGGAACGUGCCGAGUAGUGGGGGAUAACGUAGCGAAAGUUGUGCUAAUACCGCAUACGUACUGAGGUAGAAAGUGGGGGACCUUCGGGCCUCACGCUAUUCGAGCGGCCGACGUCUGAUUAGCUAGUAGGUGAGGUAAAGGCUCACCUAGGCGACGAUCAGUAGCGGGUCUGAGAGGAUGAUCCGCCACACUGGGACUGAGACACGGCCCAGACUCCUACGGGAGGCAGCAGUGGGGAAUUUUGGACAAUGGGCGAAAGCCUGAUCCAGCCAUGCAGCGUGUCUGAAGAAGGCCUUCGGGUUGUAAAGGACUUUUGUCAGGGAGGAAAUCCCUAGUGCUAAUAACACUGGGGGAUGACAGUACCUGAAGAAUAAGCACCGGCUAACUACGUGCCAGCCGCCGCAGUAA